UGUGUGGGGUCUUCCUUUUGAAACAGGGCCCAUCUCCUGGAUGUCCACAGUAGCACCUUUCCCUUGAGUCUGAAUGGAUGUGGUCGUGGUGCGGGCCUGUCCUCAUUCCUUUUGUGUUGGUCAUUGUGGUGAUUGACCGGAAGAUGGCGGCUCUGGCCAGGCUAGAGGCGGUGUUUAAAGCCAUGGCCACGGUGCUGUCACCAAGUGAGAGAGUGACAAAGAGAACAGGAAGGCCCGUUUCUGAGCUUAGAACUCUCCAGCGUUCAUUAUAGGUGGGGCAAAGGCCAGAGGCCGGGAAGAAAGGAUGGCUGUGUAGUGGGAGAAGCCUGGAGAGGUGACAAAUUAAGGCAGAGCGUCUCUGGAUUGACCCUUAGGUUCCCAGCAAUUCUGUGACCCAUCACGUUGAGUUUGAUUUUGCCUGACUCACAGAGCUAUAAAUACGAGUUUCUCCACACAUGAAUUCCUCUGACGCGGCUGAACCAGACUGAGCGCUGGAGAAGGAAAAGCAGCUGCAGCCCAAUUAAACUCAGUAGCUCAGGUGCCUCGGGAGGAUUCUCUCUUGUGCUUUACCUAAACAGAUCUGCCUUCUUAGAGAUCUUAGGGGAUUGCUGCACAGAAACCCGGGCUCUGAUGUUUCCUUCUUUAUUGCUGUUGGUAACUGAGCUAAAAUAUGCAUAUAAGCAAAUCGAGAGCAUGGAAGGGUCACCACCACAGAAAACAUGCUUUUUUUGGGCAUCUACAGGAGAAAGGAAGACCGCUGGACCCUGCAACAGAGCAGACUCGAGAAAUCACACUCGCACAGCCCGGCAGCUGAAGAGGAUUACAGAAUUGGCAUCCACUUAGAAAGUCUUUGGGAAUCCUUCUGAGCCUUCAAUUACUGAGUUUGGAGGCUCCAGGAUGCCCUCUUAUGAAAUGGACUCAGAUAGACAGGCUGACAUAACCGCCACCCUCAGCGCCGGGCACACUGUGAGGCCCAUAAAAUGCUUUUUUCAGUUUUUGUUAUGUUUGAUCUUUCCCACCGUUUUUCUGCGAGGGAAGGGCUUUCCAACUUCCAUUCCUGAUCAAAAUGUUGUCUUCUCCUUAAAUCAAUAAAUCUGGACAGCAGGUUUUUUUGCUACCUGAAGAAGCGCUGCAGCACAGCAGAUCCCCUCCUUCUGGUCCUGGACUAUUGUAGGUUAGAAUCAUCCAGACCAUUUGUUUAAAAGCUCCUCAACCUACAACCAGAGUUUUCUUAGUACCCCAAAACUUACACCAUGUUGUCAAUUAAAAUUUUUUUAACCUUCAUAGGCAAAUUUAAACAUACACAA